rnacentral:rRNA from 1 species
UACGAAGGGGGCUAGCGUUGCUCGGAAUCACUGGGCGUAAAGCGCACGUAGGCGGAUUGCUAAGUCAGGGGUGAAAUCCUGGAGCUCAACUCCAGAACUGCCUUUGAUACUGGCGACCUUGAGUCCGGGAGAGGUGAGUGGAACUGCGAGUGUAGAGGUGAAAUUCGUAGAUAUUCGCAAGAACACCAGUGGCGAAGGCGGCUCACUGGCCCGGUACUGACGCUGGAGGUGACG